rnacentral:lncRNA from 12 species
CGCCGAAUUGCUGCAGUAAUUCAGGCAAAAGGAGCCCCAACUAAGUAUUGAGUCCUGUACAUGCUCAUACUUUUCAUGUUCAUACUUUUUAGUUGGCCAAGAUUUCUAAAAAUCCUUUCUUUGUAUUGGUCUUAAGUAAUAUUCUAAUUUUCUGAGAUACUGAAUUGGGGAUUUUUCUUGUCAGUUAUAAUCAUCAAUAUUAAAAGAAAUAAACAUUUGAAAUAUAUCAGUCUGUGUGUAAUGAAUGAAUAUAAUAUACAAGUUUCAAUUUUUGAAUGGAAUUAGUGAAAUAAAUCAACUUUUUGAUGAUAUUCUAAUUGUAUGACCAGCACCUGUAUUGUUCAUGCUUAGUUCAUGUUAACUAGUUGUUUAAUACUGCAGUCACGCCAGUUUAAUACACUAUUAAUACACUAACUAAUAAACCUUAUUGUAAAGUGUUACCCUGCAAACUAAUACUAAAUAAAUAAAUAAUUACAUACGAGUCUCUAAGAGAAGUAGUUAAAUGUCUUGUUAUUCAUUCUGCCAUUUUAAGAAUUUUGUUUAAUUUCUGUUUUGAUUUUUAUUGCCAGAAAAACAAAAUGACACAAGAUCAGGACCAGCAAAGGGUAGGGUGGUGGAGGGGAGGGGGAAUAGGGAAAGAUUAGAGGGUUCUUUUUUCCCCCAAAGGGGAAAACCAACGCAUCCUGCCUCUAUAUAAAAAUGAAGAUCAAUGCAGGCGAAGAAACAGAGGCUCUCUUAGGUGAUUCCAACAGUGAGCAACCAAGAUGGCCACAUAUCUGUCCUUACUGCUGCUGUUUGCAUGUGCCUCCACAAGCUCUUCAGAUCAAAAAACCUCCAAUGAGGAGAUGACCAAUGAUGAAGGGAUUGGAGGAGAAGAGUUAACAUUCCCUGAGGAUGAAAGUGAGUCCACACCUUCUGAGGGCCUUGGUGAGCAAAAAUAAUCAUAAGUUUUAUUUCUCAAAUAUGCAAAAUUCCACAAAAAGCAACAUUUGUUCACAAAGAUAUAUUGCUGAUUACAAAAUUAAACAUUUAACUUUUAUUUUAUCAAACUGAUGUCCCAGCAGAGACAAUUUUUAAUGUGCAUGUCGACCAUAAUUGU